CCCUAAUAACAAAAAAAAAAUAACGCUCUUUCUGUCCACGACCGAGUAAAAAAAAAAAAAAAAAAAAAAAACCCGCACGCAGUACUUGUAUAAUAGUAUCGAAUGCAGUUGGUGUUAUUGACGAUAUAUUCUAUUCUAUGGAUUAGAAUCCCGUUUGCAGUAUAUUAUAAAUUGUGUCCGUUUUUUUAAUCCGUCGUACACCCACGACAUCGUUGCGGCCACACGCACGUCUCGUAUUCUAUUAAAAAAAAAAAAAAAAAAACAGCUCACACUGCUGAUGGGUGUGCCACUGUUGAAGGUGAGAAGUCGAGAAUGUUGAAUACAUAAAGUUAUUUAAUUUAUAUCCAUACGCAACAGCGAAUCGUUAUAACUGGUGAAAUACGCGCUUCUGCGCGAAGUUUUGGUUAAACGCG